rnacentral:lncRNA from 1 species
CGACAGACGAAGGCAUUUUACCAAAAAAAGUACGCCGAUUUAAGUCUCUUCGUCUUAUCGUGAUGCAGAAAUAAUGUGUGCAGUUUGGAUGCAACUGGUUGUCAAAUAUGUUGUACCGGCAUAGGAAGAUUAGUUGAUAGAAGGAAUGUAAACACAUCACGCACUUGUCCUUUUCAUCUGGCGAUCUGCUCUGGGAGACGAUUUGAAUGGAUCGUUCAUUUUUAUGUUUUAAAGUUCUGUAUUCAUAUGUUAAGUGUAUAUCUGGAUGGAAUUGAACCGACUUCCUUAUGGUUCCUAUUACAUGGAGAACCUAGUAAACCAAAGGCCAAGCUGAUGCCAAGCUUCAGUGUAAAACUUUGAGCAGGUGCCAGGUAAUUUGCAUUUACAAAUCCAAACAUUUUAAAACUUGAGUUGGACAACAUUGUCAUGUUAAUUAUGCCCCAACAGCUUGUUGGCAAAACAGCCGUUCAUUGAAUUAUGCCCCACGACACCAGCAUUGUCUGUCUGGCAAAACAGAAAAUCAUGCUGUUAGAUGUCAUAGUAAUCUAAACUAGAUACAUGUAUGAAAAAAAUGAUUAUUUAAAAAAUAAUCCAGGUCUGUCAGUUUAUAUGUUUGUAAUAAUUUAGGAACAAACACCCAAGUCAAGGCAAAAAACAAAUACAAACAUAUUGAUAACAAUUGCAAGAAAGCAUUAAACAAAAGUGCAGUAGAACUAAAUAGGAAAACAUGCAUGCUAUCAGACAAUUGAGGGAUUCAAGCCAAGGCUACCCUUCAACAUGUUCAAAAGUUGAAUUGCCAUGGUACACAUACAAUGUACAUGUAUGAUCAUCAUGUAGCAUGAACCAUCAAUGGCUGUUAAACUUGUCACAUUGACACAGACACUGCCACAACACUAAUUAAUUGAUACAUGUAUAUACUAGCAUGACUAUAGUAAUAUAUAUUUGAUAAUAUCCAUCUAAAAAUCAUCUGAUAAUUUAAUCAGUAUUUGAUUAAAAGUCAAAUGCUCAUGUACAUGAUGUAGGAUACAAAGAAACAUAAAUAAAGAGCAAACAAACAAAUGUACAUGUAUAUAUCUGGGAGUUUUUUCUGUUUAAUUUCUAUGAAUGUAAGAAGAAGUUGAUACUUUACAUGUACAAAACAAUGUACGUGUACUUCCCAUUUUAAUCUGAUAUCCAUACUAUAAUUAAUUUUUUUUUAUACAAUAACUAGUCGAAAAAUUUAAAUACAGACAAAUAUUCAACGACUGAGCGAAUAAGACACAAGUUCACCAAGGUGCAUUGUCCCUGAGUAAAUUUUCAGCGUUGUAAGGUCACACAAGUUGUAAAGCUUUUCAAUAUUUGAAUUCUUUGAUUAUUUAUUCUUUUUAUUACAUCAUGUACAUGUACAUUGGCAAAUAGCAUUUUUACAACAAAUAUUAUUCAUUUAUAAAAUGUAUGUGUUUUUUAAUAUAUGUCCAGUUUUCACUUUAUUAUAUUUGGUAAGAAAAUUUGUAUUAUAAACUAACAAACAUCAUUUGUACAUACAUACAUGUACAAAUGAUGUACAUGUACAUUGUACUGCUACAUAUAUACAUUCCUUAUCUAUGUGCUAUCAAAAUGAAGAACAUUUUUGUAACAGAAAUUAUAUAUUUCAUUUUUUAGAGAAACCAUCCUUGUUAAAGAUGUGACAUUAAUCCCUCCAAACCUACAAAACACAAUUGAUAAGGUAAGUUGCAGAUUAUCUGAGAUAUUUUUGAUUAUCAUCCCAAGAAAUGUAGCAUACAUGUAUUACUCUUCUUUCAUUUAUAUGAUAAUGAAGAUACAUGUAUCUUGUAAUUUGUACAGUUGUAUAUGUAUUUCUGCCAUCUGUCACUGUUAAUUUAAAUGUACAUUAGGGGUCAGUAAAUAAUCAAAACAUGAUACAUGUAUAAAGACUAAUGGUGUGUAUUUUCAUUAAAUAAUACACAGGUUUUUUUUUUGUGUUCAGAUUGAUAGCAAUUUUGUUGUCAAUUGUUGUAGUGUCAUAAUAAACUGUCAUUGUCUAAAUGAAUGAAAUAAAUGGUUGUACCUAAAAUUAUUUGAAACAUGUCUGAACUUAACUUAUAUAUAGAUACAAUUUACAUUGUAUUAUAACCAAUUUUUAUUUACAUUUGUAUAUCUAUAUGUACAUGUACAUGAUCAAUGUAUCAAUGAUGACAAGGAACUUUUUAUUUAAAUUUCAGAGAUGCUAAUUAACCUUGUUAAUGACUGUGGAGAACUUAUGCUACAUUUACCUAAUACACAGACAAACACAGAUGGGCAUAGGUAAUAAAUAGAGCAGUUUUCUAAGAUACAUGUUCAUGUUUAUUGUUAUAUCAUGUAUAUUAUGCCUUGUCUUUAAAAAAUAUAGAUAUGAAACAUGAACACAUAUGUACAUGUUCCAUGUUUACAUGUAUUAGAGAGUUAUCUAACCUGUUUAAAAGCUGAUAACUACUUAGUACUAUCAAAAUUUUAGUCUAUUUGUUUCUCUAUUUGUCCAUGAUUUAUCUUAUAAUGGAUAGAGUUUGAAAAUUAAAUCUAUAAAGUUGGAUAAAAUAUUCAUAAUGCUUGCAUUGGUACAAAGCCAUUUUGAAAAUAAGAAGAUGUGGUAUGAUUGCCAAUAUGAAAACUCUCCCCAAUACAUGUACUUCACAUGACAUAUAAAGGAACCACUUUAAGUCACCAUACAACCUUACACAAUAAGACAAACCCAUACUACAUAAUCAGCUAUAAAUUUAAACAAUUCAAAGGAGAAGACUAAAUACAACUACUGAAUUAUUGGUUAUACAGCAUUAAAAUACAACUACUGAAUUACUGGUUCCUGACUUGGGACAGGCACAUACAGAAUGUGGCAGGGAUAAACUAGAUUGAACUUUAUUAAAAAAUUACCCAUUAUCAAACUAAAAAUGCCUAUUACUAAGUGAACUCAGAUUACUCUGCUGUUUACAUAUUUGUUAAACUAUAAUUUGCUUCUUGUAGAAAUUAGCCUGUGAGAUCAAGAUGCAGAUAUAUCCACCAGAUACCAAAUGCCACACCAAAGCAGACAUUUUCAAAUGUUGAGAGACCUAUGAAUACAUCUACAUCCUUCUUCGGACUUUGAAACAACUGAUUGAGUAUGUUAGCUAACAUUUAAUCAAUUAUGUUUGAACAGUGCUACACAACAGCCUGGGUGGAUUUUGCUUUUUCCACCGGCC